rnacentral:rRNA from 1 species
UACAGGGGUGGCAAACGUUGCUCGGAAUCAUUGGGCGUAAAGCGCACGUAGGCGGUUCGUUAUGUCGGAUGUGAAAGCCUUUGGCUUAACCGAGGAAGUGCAUCCGAAACUGGCGAGCUAGAGUACUAAAGAGGAUCGCGGAAUUCCCGGUGUAGAGGUGAAAUUCGUAGAUAUCGGGAGGAACACCGGUGGCGAAGGCGGCGAUCUGGGUAGAUACUGACGCUGAGGCGCGAAAGCUAGGGGAGCAAACAGG